CCUACGGGAGGCAGCAGUGGGGAAUAUUGGACAAUGGGCGAAAGCCUGAUCCAGCAAUGCCGCGUGAGUGAUGAAGGCCUUAGGGUCGUAAAGCUCUUUUACCCGGGAUGAUAAUGACAGUACCGGGAGAAUAAGCCCCGGCUAACUCCGUGCCAGCAGCCGCGGUAAUACGGAGGGGGCUAGCGUUGUUCGGAAUUACUGGGCGUAAAGCGUGCGUAGGCGGUUAUUCAAGUCAGAGGUGAAAGCCCGGGGCUCAACCCCGGAACGGCCUUUGAAACUAGGUAGCUAGAAUCUUGGAGAGGUCAGUGGAAUUCCGAGUGUAGAGGUGAAAUUCGUAGAUAUUCGGAAGAACACCAGUGGCGAAGGCGACUGACUGGACAAGUAUUGACGCUGAGGCACGAAAGCGUGGGGAGCAAACAGGAUUAGAUACCCUGGUAGUCCACGCCGUAAACGAUGAUAACUAGCUGUUCGGGUACUUGGUAUCUGAGUGGCGCAGCUAACGCAUUAAGUUAUCCGCCUGGGGAUACGGUCGCAAGNUUAAAACUCAAAGAUAUCGGNGNGNGAGAGCGACGACGACGACGAGAGGAG
rnacentral:rRNA from 1 species